rnacentral:rRNA from 1 species
AUUGGGACUGAGAUACGGCCCAGACUCCUACGGGAGGCAGCAGUGGGGAAUAUUGCACAAUGGGCGCAAGCCUGAUGCAGCGACGCCGCGUGCGGGAUGACGGCCUUCGGGUUGUAAACCGCUUUUGACUGGGAGCAAGCCCUUCGGGGUGAGUGUACCUUUCGAAUAAGCACCGGCUAACUACGUGCCAGCAGCCGCGGUAAUACGUAGGGUGCAAGCGUUAUCCGGAAUUAUUGGGCGUAAAGAGCUCGUAGGCGGUUCGUCGCGUCCGGUGUGAAAGUCCAUCGCUUAACGGUGGAUCCGCGCCGGGUACGGGCGGGCUUGAGUGCGGUAGGGGAGACUGGAAUUCCCGGUGUAACGGUGGAAUGUGUAGAUAUCGGGAAGAACACCAAUGGCGAAGGCAGGUCUCUGGGCCGUUACUGACGCUGAGGAGCGAAAGCGUGGGGAGCGAACAGGAUUAGAUACCCUGGUAGUCCACGCCGUAAACGGUGGAUGCUGGAUGUGGGGACCAUUCCACGGUCUCCGUGUCGGAGCCAACGCGUUAAGCAUCCCGCCUGGGGAGUACGGCCGCAAGGCUAAAACUCAAAGAAAUUGACGGGGGCCCGCACAAGCGGCGGAGCAUGCGGAUUAAUUCGAUGCAACGCGAAGAACCUUACCUGGGCUUGACAUGUUCCCGACAGCCCCAGAGAUGGGGCCUCCCUUCGGGGCGGGUUCACAGGUGGUGCAUGGUCGUCGUCAGCUCGUGUCGUGAGAUGUUGGGUUAAGUCCCGCAACGAGCGCAACCCUCGCCCUGUGUUGCCAGCACGUCGUGGUGGGAACUCACGGGGGACCGCCGGGGUCAACUCGGAGGAAGGUGGGGAUGACGUCAGAUCAUCAUGCCCCUUACGUCCAGGGCUUCACGCAUGCUACAAUGGCCGGUACAACGGGAUGCGACAUGGCGACAUGGAGCGGAUCCCUGAAAACCGGUCUCAGUUCGGAUUGGAGUCUGCAACCCGACUCCAUGAAGGCGGAGUCGCUAGUAAUCGCGGAUCAGCAACGCCGCGGUGAAUGCGUUCCCGGGCCUUGUACACACCGCCCGUCAAGUCAUGAAAGUGGGUAGCACCCGAAGCCGGUGGCCCAACCUUUUGGGGGGAGCCGUCUAAGGUGAGACUCGUGAUUGGGACUAAGUCGUAACAAGGUAGCCGUACCGGAAGGUGCGGCUG